CAGCUCUGGUUUCCCCUGCAGGGCUCUCCUUCCUUGGGCCUCUCUUGGAGAGGUCAGGAGUGGGUCAUUGGCGUGUACACACCUGCUACCUUCCCCAAGGUUCCUGCCACAUCAGGCAUGUGUGAGCACUUCCCUUCCCCUCAAACAGAGCCCUCUCCCUCCCUCCUUCUCUCCCUCCUUCCUUUCUUUUUAAAAUGACAGUGCCAACCACACGCACCUUGAACUUGCCUAUUUGGCACACACCAAAGCUCAUUCUGAAGGACCUUGCAUGUGUGUUCCUGUUGCACGGGUAGGAUUUCUCUAUUGAAAAACAGUUGCAGGAGAAAGCAGAUAUGAAAUACAAGAUCUGGUAGGAGCUCAUAUGACCCCAGGGACAGACUGAGCAACUGAGCCUGCAUCUUACCAAAUCAUUUGGAUUUUCCUCUCUGGGUAAAAAGUUAUCGUCAGUCUGUGGCCACAACAGUUACUUUGAAGACAUGGACAAUUUUUAUGGCCUCUGGAAGGGAAGCCCCCAGUCCCUGCAUCUUGUUUGCCAAAGAAGAAACACCAGGCCUCACCCAUCCUUUGGGCCAGGAGAGCUGAGAGCUACUUUAUUGAAGUAUGAUUGACAUACAGAGAACACUAUAAUUGAAUGUCUACCAUCUGACGAGUUUGGAGGGAACCACAUUUCCUUUCACUUGGGAAGACCUGUCUUUUCGGCCAUUGAAUUCCUGGGAAUUUCAAAGACACAGGGCUGCAAGCUCACCGUGGCUCACAGGAC
rnacentral:lncRNA from 1 species